AGCAACUUGAUGCUUCAUAUUUCUGUUCAGCUAUGCAACUUAUAAUUCAGUUUCCUUCCUUAUAUUGCAUUUGAAAAAGAGUUUCCUAUUGCUGAGAAAUGCAUGUAAACAAGCUUCAGACAUACUGUCUGUAGAAGCGCUAUACACAGGCGCGAAGCACUAUUCAGGAUUCCAUGGAUAUUGUGAUGUAUUUGAUCUAAGUGAGCCAACUAAUAUUUGUCCCAUUGGUCAGUUUACAUGGUUGGGUUUGUUUUGAUUCUUUUGUUUUUCACAUCAUUACACGCAUACUCCAUUUGUCUUCUUGUUUCAGCUACCAAUCAAGAUUGAAGUGUAUGGAGAGAUGCACAGCCUGGCACAUGCUCAUGCAUGAGCAAAUUCAACUGAGAAAUAACAAGUUCCACAUAGUGCUAUCAAAAGGCAAUCCACCCAUUCCUGCUUCAUUUUUCUUUGCCUUGAAUCAGGGUUGUAUUCAAAUUUUAUGGCUCCCACGCCUGCUCAUAGUUCUAGCCCGGCAAAAGAAUCCUGCCUCGGCCGGUGUUAUUGCAACUUCUUCCACCAUGGAGUGGGCGCCAAAUAAAGCAUUCUAGCUUUAGACAAGCAACACUGAAAUAAUAGAUGUAUCAUUUGAUGGAGAAGACGAGCAUAGCUAAAGUAGGAUCUAUAUAUGGAGGUGGAACUUGGUAUGUAGUAUAUCAACAAAAUUAGCAAAUUUACUGCCCCCAUGUACGCCCCCUGCCGUCAAUGUAUCAUGUAUCAAAUUUCGUUAUGAAUUGCUUUCUACCCUA